GCCUUGAUGGUGAAAUGGUAGACACGCGAGACUCAAUAUCUCGUGCUGAAGAGCGUGGAGGUUCGAGUCCUCUUCAAGGCA
rnacentral:tRNA from 1 species